rnacentral:rRNA from 1 species
UACGUAGGGCCCAAGCGUUAUCCGGAAUCACUGGGCGUAAAGCGUGCGUAGGCGGAUGUUUAAGUGUAAUGCGAAAUCCUGUGGCUCAACCAUAUGGACUGUAUUGCAUACUGGAUAUCUGGAGGAAUGCAGAGGCAAGUGGAAUUACCGGUGUAGCAGUGAAAUGCGUAGAGAUCGGUAGGAACACCAAUGGCGAAGGCAGCUUGCUGGGCAUUUUCUGACGCUAAGGCACGAAAGCGUGGGGAGCGAACAGG